UACGUAGGGUGCAAGCGUUGUCCGGAAUUAUUGGGCGUAAAGAGCGUGUAGGCGGCCCGAUUAGUCCGCUGUGAAAGUCCAGGGCUCAACCCUGGAAUGCCGGUGGAUACUGUCGGGCUAGAGUCCGGAAGGGGCGAGUGGAAUUCCUGGUGUAGCGGUGAAAUGCGCAGAUAUCAGGAGGAACACCAAUGGCGAAGGCGGGUCUCUGGACAGUUCCUGACGCUGAGGCACGAAGGUCAGGGGAGCAAACGGG
rnacentral:rRNA from 1 species